GGAAACAACGCAGUUUUGAAUUGAUAGAGCACCAACGUGACUUGGUAUUUUACGGAAGAAAAAUGUAGUUGUUUUUUUCUCAAGAACAAUAUUCGGAUUUUGCUCACUGCUUCGAUCUCGUUAUUCCGUCUUAUCGUGUUGUUGAAUCCAGGCUUUCUUCGUAGUGAAGUAAGGUGGAAGAAGAUUAUUUCUUGGAAUAUAAGACCUGCGAGCUCGAGAAGUAGACGUUGGACAUUAGAUAGAGUUCAAGGUAGACAGGGAGGUGAGCUUGAUCCAGAUUCUUAGUAGCUGUCAGAUGAUUGAGAGCACUCCAUUGUUCGGAGGUGCUUAUGAUUCUUCUUUUGGUAUAUAUGCAUAUUUUGGGCACAACGGAGUCUUGUUCCGUCUAUAUGUUUAGUAUGUCAGUAGAGGCUCGUAGAUACGCAGUGUGGGUCAGAUGGUCUCACACGAUGUUAUUAUUAUGUAUAUAUUAUUUUGGUGGCCGAG